GUUGUGCCAUUUUGCUUCGUACCUGCAUUUCGUUUUGUCAGUGUUUCCAUACUCUUGACAGAAGCCUUGCACUAGUCCAACAGUCAAAAAGAGUAUGAGCUGUGGUUGUGCUCCUGUGUAGCUUGAUUGCAUGAGGUGAUUUUGGUCUUGCACAUAAUUCACAGUAUUUUAGCUCUAGUGUGCCAGGUCAGGUCACAUUAAUACCUGUGUUGCACUUAGCUCCAAUUAAUGGCAUAAAUGGCUAAGGUACAUUUCUUAUUGCCAUUACUUUUAGAGCGUGACCACAUGUGUAUACGUAACAUUGCAGACCAGCCAACCAACCUCAGAAUUUGAAUAUACUUCAGUCGUAGCUAACAAAUGCUAAAAUUUUGGGAAAUAUAGUAAACACUUCUAUUACUUAAAUAUUCAGUGCUCUUAAAAAAAUUAGGACUUUAUUCUGUGAGAUAGAGUGAUCCAGCAUGUGUGCCCUUCAGUCACUGCUAGAAUUAUCUGCCCCAUAUGCAGCUGACUUCUAUUAAUUCUACCCUGACAGGACCAACGAAAGAAGCCAGUGGAAAGUGCCACACGACUAGUUGCAUUGCACUUUCGUGUUUUGCAGGCUUUCUUUCAGGCUUGGAAAAAAACUUAUAUUAUGUAGCAUAUAUUUGCAGCAGAAAGCUGGAUUGUAGAUUUUUCAGGAUGGUCUACAAUUUUCUCAUUGACACUCUUGCUGUGAAUAUUUCAUGAAGUUGAGUAAUUAAUGAAUUAAGUAAUUAGCCAAUAUACAAAAAAAAUUGUUUGACUUGCUCCAAGCAACAGCAAACAUUACCUUGGUUCUGACCAGCUAUGUGGCACUUCUUUUAAGCUUCGGCACAAGUUGUGUGGGACACAUGGUAUACAUUUUAAAUUAAUUAUGCUUUAAACUGUGAAAUCAAAUAUAGAAUACUUGUAGUGACAAAAACUGUAAAGAAGCUCUAAAUAUCGGGAAUUUCACUACAAAAUUGUAUAAACUGGAAGGUAUAAUAGUGUCACACAUGAGGUCAGUGUAGCAAGCUUGAAAUUGGAAUUUUAAAAAAAAUUGCUUUUAUUGGCUAAAACUGCAAGCAAUGUCACAAAACGGCAUUAGUAAGUACACUUCAAAGAGAGUUUCCUUUCUCCAAAACGUUCUUUAUUGUGCCUGGAAGCAUGCUUGCAAAAUGUGUAGAGCCCCAAGUUGAAGCAGAAUGGUGCCUGUAGUUCUGAAGGUGUCAAAAUGGAGACAGUGCAAAUAAUGACUUUUAGAGCGCUACUUUAAACCGUAACGUUUUUUUUUUUUUAUCAUCGAAGCAUGUCACUGAAAGUAAAGCAUCAGGAGCAAGUUAUGCAGGCAUGCGUUUGAUCACUUAGCCCUUUAAACCUCAAUCCGGUGCUCUAUGCACCAUGGAAGUUGUACCAAUAUUGCCAAUGAAGAGUCACUUGUUGAGCCCAAUUCUGCGCUGCUCCCAUUGCCAAAGACAACUUACUGUUGGCAAUGAGGGAAAGCUGCCCUUUUCUGUAAUUUUUGUGUUAUUCCUAACCAAAAACGAAUUGAGAAAUGUAUGUUAAGGAUCACAAUGAGAGAAAAAGAAUUCCAACUAAAAAAAUUUUCAGGAAACUUGUUUUUUCUGCAAUAACUUAGGGGGUUAAAAGGUCGAGUUAUCAAAAAUCAUUACAUUGUUAAUGGCAUUAAUAUUUAUAACUAAUAAAUCUACUUGUAUAUGCAGGUAGCAUGCAAAUGACAUUUGCAGUUAACAUUGAGGAAUGAAAACCCACCACUUUAAGGUGCCAUGAAAGAGUAGCUGCUGCUUCAAUCUUCAAGAGGUCUGCCAAAUACAGCUAUGCAUUUGCACUGAGAAAAUGUUACUUAGCUCUUUCAGAUUGUUCAAAUAAAGUGGUUUAUCAACAGAA